rnacentral:rRNA from 1 species
GACGAACGCUGGCGGCGUGCCUAACACAUGCAAGUCGAACGGAAAGGCCCUGCUUUUGUGGGGUGCUCGAGUGGCGAACGGGUGAGUAACACGUGAGUAACCUGUCCCUGACUUUGGGAUAACUUAAGGAAACUGGGGCUAAUACCGGAUAGGAGCUCUUGCUGCAUGGUGGGGGUUGGAAAGAUUCGGUGGUUGGGGAUGGACUCGCGGCUUAUCAGCUUGUUGGUGGGGUAGUGGCUUACCAAGGCUUUGACGGGUAGCCGGCCUGGGAGGGUGACCGGCCACAUUGGGACUGAGAUACGGCCCAGACUCGUACGGGAGGCAGCGGUGGGGAAUAUUGCACAGUGGGCGGAAGCCUGAUGCGACAACGCCGCGUGCGGGAUGACGGCCUUCGGGUUGUGAACCGAUUUCGCCUGUGACGAGGCGUUAGUGACGGUAAUGGGUAAAGAAGCACCGGCUAACUACGUG